GCGCUUGUAGCUCAAUGGAUAAAGCGCAUGUUUCCUAAGCUGAAGGUCGCAGGUUCGACCCCUACCUAGCGUG
rnacentral:tRNA from 1 species